UACAGUGAGUUGGACAAUGUUCUUUUUAUGAGCUCUGCAAGCUGUGUUGAUCAGAAGGGAUGUUAAAAAGCAGUCGUUUCCAGACAUUUCUAGUUCACUUAGUAGUUGUUGAUAAAUGUAAACCAGUUGUUCUGCAACGGAUACCUGCACACCCUCAACUACCAAUUUCACCAGCUGUACAGGGUCUUGCUGAGUUUCUUUGGACCUCACGAAGCCCAAAAUGAUGAGGCUGGCCUGGAACUUAUCAUGGUCCUGCCUCAGCCUUCUGAGCUGCUGGGAUUACAAGCUAUCAUUUGUGAAACAGUAUGGCUCCUCCUUUUGGAGGGCAAUCAAGGCUCUGCCUGGAUUCAGUGGAGGUUCAUGGGAUGCCUCCAUGUGCCCUGCUCCAGGCGUGCUCUGUGGAGGUGUGCAGUGGAGGAAGCCAGGCAAGACCAACAUGGCAGUAGGGUGGAUGAAGGCAUCCUGGGUUUGACUGCUGCUGCUUCUCAGACCAUCUGAAUGAAGGACAAGGUUUUGUUUUUUCAUUUUUGACUUGUUGAGGGCUGAUGAGGGGUGCUGUUUCCAUGGCAAGUAUGCAGCUCCUACAACAUGCACUUCACCAAGAACUUGACAGCACCCUAAAUGGCUUGGGCUCUGUUCUAUGACAGAAGUCCCCUGACAUGUCCUUGGACAAUAAGGCAGCAUCAAAGUGAUAAGCUUUUUAAAAAAAUGUUUACUCUUUUUUUUUUUUUAAUUUUUAAGGUGUAAUUGGACUCAAUGCCUUUAUUUUAUUUACUUGUUUUUAAUGUGGUGCUGAGGAUCAAACCCAGGGCCUUGCACGUGCUAGGCGAGCGCUCUACCACUGAGCCACAGCCCAGCCCAAAAUGUCUACUCUUAAUGUGUGUACUGAUGAUGUCAUAGACUGACAGGAAAUAGUUGAUGGAUUGGAAUCAGGAGUAGCUCUAAACUGAAGGAGAAAAAAUGUUCAGUGCAGUGAUCCACAACUGGUACCCUGAAGGGAUCAAAGUGGCACUGAAGAUCAAAAAUAAGAAUGACGGGGGCUGGGGCUGUAGCUCAGUGGGAGGGCACCUGACUAGCAUGGGUGAGGCGCUGGGUUCGAUCCUUAGCACCCCAUAAAAUGAAACAAAUAAAUAAAGGCAUUCUGUCCAUCUAUAACUACAGAAGUAAUAAUAAUAAUAAAAAAAAGAAUGGACAGACACAUGAAAUGGAGAUAAACCAGGUGUUUCUAAUGAUGUACAAAAACAAACAAGCCUCACUGGUCAUUUUUGGAGGUUGCUGGUACAAUUUGAUGUUCUA